GUGAAGAUGUUUUGGCGAAGUGUCCUAACAUCACUCAGAAUGGUGCUAGUGACAAGGCAUAGAAACUUGCUGUAGCUGCUCUUUCAGCAGUCAAGGAUGCUGCUGCUUUAGCUGCUCUGGGCAGGAGGAAAGUUGAGAAUUCUGAAUUUCGGGACAUUGUUGGCGAGGAAGUCGAAGUGAGAAUUUGUUGAUGCUAUCUCAAAAGAGGCAUCUGAUAAAGAUAAAGGAACAGUCGGUUCAAUUUCUGCUGUUGAUGCUGUUCUUGAACAAAUAAAAAAGAAACAAAAACUGAGUGUACUCGAUAAGACAAAGAAGGAUUGGGGCGAGUUCAAUGAAGAAAACAAAGGCCUAGAAGAAGAACUGAAUGCUUACAAGAAAAGUUCAAAUCAGUAUCUAGAUGAGAAAACCAUGCCCAUGCUCCUCGUGCAUGUGAAAAUUAUAUGGCGUGGUAUAGUUGGACAAAGGACGGAUUUUGAUUAAGCUAAAAGGGAAGCUGAUCUUCUUUAGUAGCAUUCCAUGUUAGGAACAGUUUGUGCUUCAAAAAUUGAACUUUUCAUUU